rnacentral:lncRNA from 1 species
GUUGUGAGGGGCCGGGCUGGAUUUGGGUUUAAAAGAGCUUAAAAGAGAAAUUAUACUUCUACAAAACAACAAAAAGCCAUUGGUGGUGUUGGCAGUGCUUCGUUUGGUGUUCAUACACUAAACGAGCUUAAAGCAGCUACUGGAUGCAAUUUGUUAUUCAGGGGCAAUGGAGAAAUGACAUAUUCAAUGGACAGGGCACUAUAAUUCAUUGUUCCGGUGACAUCUGUGAUAGACUGUGGAUCAAUGGCCGCGCUGCUGGUAAGUAGAUUCAUUAUGCUCUCCAGUU